UUUGGACAAAUCGGUUCGGUUCAUAAUUGUAAACUGAACCGAUCGGAAUGAUAAUAAAAUUAGUUCGGUUAUGCAUUCAGUUCGGUUCGGAAAAGAGAUAACCGACGGUUAACCGAAAAUUAACCCUAAGUUACUAAGUAUAUAAGUGUUAUACCAGGCAUUAGUUGUAAAAAUAAAAACCCUAACCUAAUCGCAGUCUCUCUCUCAGGCGGCGAAACCCGAGAUAUUGAGCUUCGGUCUUCGACUUCGAUCUUCAUCAUUCGUUACUCCGUGUGUUCUUCGACUUCGAUCUUCAUCAUCUGUGUUCGAUUGUAGUUGUUUUAUGGAGUCGGAAUCAGAAAACAACAAUGAUGACAUUCUUGGUCAAGAGAACCAUAUGGAAGAAGAUGGUCCACCUCCCUCUUCAGUUGGAGGAAAAAGAACAAAAUCUCAGAGAUCAAGUUCUGGUUUUGCAGUCAAACCGAGGAAAAGGCCAGCUCAUAGAGCAUCUGUGUGGAAGCAUUUCGUUCAGCAAACAGACAAUCUGGCUUUAAGCAGCCGAUCUAAGUGCCUUGUUUGAUUUGACAGAUGAUGAUGGUUAUGAGAGGAUGGACUCUUUGUACUCUGAGAUGGUAGCAGAGACUGCAAAUGAAGAAGUUAGUAGCGAACUUGACAUUUAUUUGCUUGAGAAACAAGUGCCAAGAACUACAAAUGGUUUGGGACUGGAUUAUGAUGUCUUAAGCUGGUGGAGGAAGAACAGUUCAAAAUUCCCAAUCUUAUCAGAGUUAGCAAGAGAUGUGCUUGCCAUUCAGGUCUCCUCUGUUGCUUCAGAGUCUGCAUUCAGCACCAGUGGUCGUAUUUUGGACCCUUUCCAAAGUUGCUUGUCACCACACAUGGUUGAAUCAUUGAUCUGUACUCAACAAUGGCUCAGAAAUACCAUUCAUGAGGAGAAGUUAGCAAACUUGGUUCAAAUGUUUGAAGAAUUGGAGUUUCAUGAGUAUUUAGGUAAUCAUUCUAUCUUUCAAUUUUUUUGGUUUUUACUAUAGACUCAAUUGCAUUUCAUUUGCCUUGUGUAGGUUCACAGACUCAUGCCCAAUCAUCAGUUGACCCUUGAAUUGGAGUUGGAAAUUGAGACAAGGUGACUAACACAUAUGAUCUUCAAGGCUUAAAGGCUUGUCUCUUUCUCUCUCUAUUUUUGAUUUUUGAACAACAAACUCUUUCUCUUUUGGCGUCAGGAGAACAAUGACAACAUACCAAAUGCAUCUAUGCUCUGUAGGAAAUUAGGUAUAAUGGAUCAUUGGUUUUUUGUCAUUUCUGUCAAGUUACAUGUUUUUUGGAACAUCUUAUGUAUCUAUUGUAUUUCAUUUCUGUCAAGUUACUGAGUUGUUGUUGUAUAUUCAUGAUGAAUGCUCUGAAUUUGUAAUAAUUUUAAUUUUCUUCUUUUUGGU